UACGAAGGGGGCUAGCGUUGCUCGGAAUCACUGGGCGUAAAGGGUGCGUAGGCGGGUCUUUAAGUCGGGGGUGAAAUCCUGGAGCUCAACUCCAGAACUGCCUUUGAUACUGAAGAUCUUGAGUUCGGGAGAGGUGAGUGGAACUGCGAGUGUAGAGGUGAAAUUCGUAGAUAUUCGCAAGAACACCAGUGGCGAAGGCGGCUCACUGGCCCGAUACUGACGCUGAGGCGCGAAAGCGUGGGGAGCAAACAGG
rnacentral:rRNA from 1 species